rnacentral:rRNA from 1 species
UACGUAGGGACCGAGCGUUGUCCGGAUUCAUUGGGCGUAAAGAGCUCGUAGGCGGCCACUCAAGUCGAACGUGAAAACUCGGGGCUCAACCCCGAGCCCGCGUUCGAUACUGGGCGGCUAGAGUCUGGUAGGGGAGACUGGAAUUCCUGGUGUAGCGGUGAAAUGCGCAGAUAUCAGGAGGAACACCAGUGGCGAAGGCGGCUCACUGGCCCGGUACUGACGCUGAGGUGCGAAAGCGUGGGGAGCGAACAGG